UACAGAGGGUGCGAGCGUUAAUCGGAAUUACUGGGCGUAAAGCGCGCGUAGGCGGCUUUGCAAGUCGGGUGUGAAAUCCCCAGGCCUAACCUGGGAACUGCAUUCGAGACUGCAUGGCUAGAGUAUCGGAGAGGGAAGUGGAAUUUCAGGUGUAGCGGUGAAAUGCGUAGAUAUCUGAAGGAACAUCAGUGGCGAAAAGCGACUUCCUGGACGAAUACUGACGCUCAUGUGCGAAAGCGUGGGGAGCAAACAGG
rnacentral:rRNA from 1 species